UGGAACUCACUCUGUAGUCCAGGCUGGCCUCGAACUCAGAAAUCCGCCUGCCUCUGCCUCCCAAGUGCUGGGAUGAAAGGCGUGUGCCACCACCACCCGGCUUUCUCCUGUCUUCUUGUGCUAGGUUAAAACCCAGGGUCUCGAGAAUACCAGAGUUGGUGUGUCCAAAAGUGGAGACCGUCUGACCCUGCAUCCCAUCCUGGGAGCCUCCAUACCCUAUCACCUAGCGUCACCCUAUACAAGUCAGACACAGACGUCACCAGAAAGGAAGAUGCAGAGGACGGCUCUUUGAACCCAGAAAUGAACUCUCCAUAACACUAGAAUUCAGCGGGCAUAACUGAGGUAGCCCGUGAGCCAAGGGCUCUGCCUCAGAGACACGGGGCUUACUCAACAAUAGAAAAGCAACACAGCCAACCAUUGCUUUCGUAGCUGAUGAAGCCUCACAAGGCGUCACCCACAGAGCAAGCAUGUGACAAGAUCCAAUAUCUUCCUUCCCUGAUACCAAAGUUCAGCCGCUAAAAGGGGAACAUGCUACUCCUCCAUAAAGACAGACCCAGAAACCCACAGCUGCACGACGUGUUGAGGAGACACUUGAACCUUUGCGACUAUGAUCAGGAAGAGCAAGACUCAGAGAUCAAAAUCUGGCUUCUGGGCUGGAGGGGGUGGAGCCAUCUGUGGAAUCAACCUCCCCUAUACAAACCUCACUUAAGGCUCUACAAUACUGGGCUAGAGUUGGAUACCAUCACCCAUGCCCAGUCAAGGUGCCAGGAGCCAGGGUUGAAGGUGUAGCUAAUAAAGUCUCACUGCAGA